rnacentral:rRNA from 1 species
AAUCAACGCUGGCGGCGUGCCUCAGACAUGCAAGUCGAACGCGAAAGGGAACUUCGGUUCCUCAGUAGAGUGGCGAACGGGUGAGGAAUACAUGGGUAACCUACCCUCGAGUGGGGAAGUAACUAGCCGAAAGGUUAGCUAAUACCGCGUACGCUCCUUGGACUUCGGUUCAGGGAGGAAAGCGAUACCGUGGGUAUCGCGCUCUUGGAUGGGCUCAUGUCCUAUCAGCUUGUUGGUGAGGUAACGGCUCACCAAGGCUUCGACGGGUAGCUGGUCUGAGAGGACGAUCAGCCACACUGGCACUGCGACACGGGCCAGACUCCUACGGGAGGCAGCAGUAAGGAAUAUUGCGCAAUGGGCGAAAGCCUGACGCAGCGACGCCGC